UUUCCCAUUCCUUUUCUUCCUUUCUCUACAGACACUCAAGCUCAUCCUGUCCUAUCCUAUCCUAUCCUAUCCUAUCCUAUCCUAUCCUAUCCUAUCCUAUCCUAUCCUAUCCUAUCCUGUCCUAUCCUAUUUUCUGUCUUCUUUCUAAACCCCUCACAUUUUUUUGAAAGUAGCUGCUGUACAUAAUUACCUACAAGUGUACACUCUUUAACACCCUUGUAAAGUAGAAUUUUUCCUCAAGAUGUGGGGGAUGUCCACAAAGGAAGAGAUGAAGAUGACCCCAUUCACCUGUAGUUCAGGCUCAGGCUGUUGGAUGGAAUAUGUGAGAAAUUUAUGAACGUGUGAAGAUCCUACACUAUAAGC